CGCCUGCCAGCCCGCUCAGAAACUACAAAGGAAUUGACGGGGGCCCGCACAAGCGGUGGAGUAUGUGGUUUAAUUCGAUGCAACGCGAAGAACCUUACCUGGUCUUGACAUCCCGGAGACCCUUAGGAAACUAGGGGGUGCUUCCAUCUGGAAGAAUCUGGAGACAGGUGCUGCAUGGCUGUCGUCAGCUCGUGUCGUGAGAUGUUGGGUUAAGUCCCGCAACGAGCGCAACCCUUGCCUUUAGUUGCCAGCAGUUCGGCUGGGCACUCUAAAGGGACUACCGGUGUUAAACCGGAGGAAGGUGGGGAUGACGUCAAGUCCUCAUGGCCUUUAUGACCAGGGCUACACACGUACUACAAUGGCCGAUACAAAGGGCAGCGACACUGCGAGGUGAAGCCAAUCCCGUAAAAUCGGUCUCAGUCCGGAUUGGAGUCUGCAACUCGACUCCAUGAAGUUGGAAUCGCUAGUAAUCGUGGAUCAGCAUGCCACGGUGAAUACGUUCCCGGGCCUU
rnacentral:rRNA from 1 species